rnacentral:rRNA from 1 species
CGUGUUACAAUGGGUGAUACAGAGGGCCGGCCGCUGGCAACAUCGGUCCAAUCCUUAAAGUCAUCCUCAGUUCGGACUGGGGUCUGNAACCCGACCCCACGAAGCUGGAUUCGCUAGUAAUCGCGCAUCAGCCAUGGCGCGGUGAAUACGUUCCCGGGCCUUGUACACACCGCCCGUCAAGCCAUGAAAGCCGGGGGGCGCCUGAAGUCCGUGACCGCGAGGGUCGGCCUAGGGUGAAACCGGUGAUUGGGGCUAAGUCGUAACAAGGUAUC